rnacentral:lncRNA from 10 species
GCCUGAGCCACCGCGCCCAGCCUGACAAUAAUAGUUCUACUUUACUGGCACUGUAGUAGAUUAUCAGUAAUUCAAAAUGUGUCCAAAGAAUAAAAGCAAAGUUGUUAAGUAUAGCGUAAUCGAAAUCAGAUUAGACAUAUUUGUAUACUCAUUAGGAGGGUUAAAUUAGCUGUUUAGUGGUAUUGGAAUGCUGUAAGCCAAAAA